UAUAGGAUUUAUAAUUUAUUGUGUUAAGUUGUCAAUUACAACUAUUUUUGAUUUCAUGUUUUUAUGUAUAAAUUUGUAAUCCAUCUUGUUCGUAUUUAUAAUACCACCUAGCAUAUUUUAUUUUAAAAACAUGUAUGUUAUAGCCAUUCUUAGAAUAAGAUUUUCUAAACCUUCCAAGUAUUUUUCAUUUCUUUAAUAGUAGUAGAGGUUAGUAUGUUCUAACAACUGCCACUUUAUUCAUCUUUUUAUGCAUUUGGUAUAUUCAUCAAGUUUUUUUUAAAUGUAUGCAAUUAUUGUGGCUAAGAAUUUGUAUUCAAACAAUAGAUUGUAUGCAUUCUCUAUCUUAUUUGUAAACAUUUAGUAUUGAUCUAUAUUCUAAAGCCUAAUUUUGUAUCACAUUACGUAUAUAUAUGUAUAAACUUAAAUUUUUACUUUACAUUGAAUUUUGUACAAAAA
rnacentral:lncRNA from 1 species